rnacentral:rRNA from 1 species
AGGACGAACGCUGGCGGCGCGCUUAACACAUGCAAGUCGAGCGAGAACCGAAGCCUUCGGGCAUCGGGGAAAGCGGCGAACGGGUGAGUAACACGUGGGCAACCCACCCUUGGUACCGGGAUAGCCCGGGGAAACCCGGAUUAAUACCGGAUGGCCCAGCAGCCUUUCGGGGUGGCUGGAAAAGGGAGCUUCGGCCUCCGACCAAGGACGGGCCCGCGGCGGAUUAGCUUGUUGGUGGGGUAACGGCCUACCAAGGCGACGAUCCGUAGCUGGUCUGAGAGGACGAUCAGCCACACUGGGACUGAGACACGGCCCAGACUCCUACGGGAGGCAGCAGUGGGAAUCUUGCGCAAUGGGCGAAAGCCUGACGCAGCGACGCCGCGUGGGGGAAGAAGGCUUUCGGGUUGUAAACCGCUUUCACCAGGGGCGAAGCGAGAGUGACGGUACCUGGGGAAGAAGCGCCGGCUAACUACGUGCCAGCAGCCGC